rnacentral:hammerhead_ribozyme from 1 species
AUCCAGAUGACGAGUCCCAAAUAGGACGAAACGCGCUACCAAAUGGAU